rnacentral:rRNA from 1 species
AGGACGAACGCUGGCGGCGUGCUUAACACAUGCAAGUCGAGCGGAAAGGCCCUUCGGGGUACUCGAGCGGCGAACGGGUGAGUAACACGUGAGUAACCUGCCCCUAGCUCUGGGAUAGCUCCGGGAAACCGGGAUUAAUACCAGAUACGACCACUUUAGACAUCUGUCGUGGUGGAAAGGAUUCCGGCUAGGGAUGGGCUCGCGGCCUAUCAGCUUGGUUGGUGGGGUAACGGCCUACCGAAGGCGACGACGGGUA